rfam:Pelodiscus sinensis unplaced genomic scaffold scaffold645, whole genome shotgun sequence.
CCAGGUUGAGGUAGUAGGUUGUAUAGUUUAGAAUUACACCACGGGAGAUAACUGUACAACCUCCUAGCUUUCCUUG